rnacentral:rRNA from 1 species
CUACGGGCUGCUGCAGUGGGGAAUAUUGCACAAUGGGGGAAACCCUGAUGCAGCAACGCCGCGUGGAGGAUGACUCAUUUCGGUGUGUAAACUCCUUUUAUAUAGGAAGAUAAUGACGGUACUAUAUGAAUAAGCACCGGCUAACUCCGUGCCAGCAGCCGCGGUAAUACGGAGGGUGCAAGCGUUACUCGGAAUCACUGGGCGUAAAGCGCGCGCAGGCGGCCUUUUAAGUUGGAUGUGAAAGCCUACGGCUCAACCGUAGAACUGCAUCCAAAACUACUAGGCUAGAGUCUGGGAGGGGAAGAUGGAAUUAGUUGUGUAGGGGUAAAAUCCGUAGAGAUAACUAGGAAUACCAAAAGCGAAGGCAAUCUUCUGGAACAGUACUGACGCUGAGGCGCGAAAGCGUGGGGAGCAAACAGGAUUAGAUACCCGCGUAGUC